rfam:Roseburia sp. CAG:309 genomic scaffold, scf249
GCAGGAUUAGUCUAUCGGUAGGGCGCCAGCUUCCCAAGCUGGAUAGGCGGGUUCGAUUCCCGUAUCCUGCU